AGUAUCGAUGAUUUUGAUUUCGAACGUCUGUUCGAUGAAUUAAGCGAAGAAGAAUUUACCUGCCCACCCCUCUCGCUCCCUCAAGCGUCACCACUACCGUCGUCUCCAGCAGUCCUGACGCCACCACGAGCGCCAUGGAUAGUGAUGAUGACGACGUGUUUAUCUACACGCCCUCCACCAUCGUCGCUUCCGGCAGCCCUGUCGCCACCACAAGCGCCACCGUCGCCAACCCUAUAUUAAGGUCUAUUUUGAAGACCCCCUAUAUGGGCAGACAGGAACAAAAACGAGUUCUUGCAAUGAUCAUCAGGUCAUUGCAAGAGUUUCACGAUACACUGUAAAUAAAAAAAUAAAAUAAAA
rnacentral:lncRNA from 1 species